rnacentral:tRNA from 1 species
UAAGAAAAAAGGGCUUGAACCUAUUCCUAGGAGAUCAAAACUCCUUGUGCACCCUUAUACACCAUUUCUUA